GUGAGGCUUCCCGUCUGGCGCAU
rnacentral:misc_RNA from 1 species